UACGUAGGUCCCGAGCGUUGUCCGGAUUUAUUGGGCGUAAAGCGAGCGCAGGUGGUUUAUUAAGUCUGGUGUAAAAGGCAGUGGCUCAACCAUUGUAUGCAUUGGAAACUGGUAGACUUGAGUGCAGGAGAGGAGAAUGGAAUUCCUAGUGUAGCGGUGAAAUGCGUAGAGAUUAGGAAGAACACCAGUGGCGAAGGCGAUUCUCUGGACUGUAACUGACGCUGAGGCUCGAAAGCGUGGGGAGCAAACGGG
rnacentral:rRNA from 1 species